rnacentral:rRNA from 1 species
AGUCGAACGAACUUCCGUUAAUUGAUUAUGACGUGCUUGCACUGAMUGAGAUUUUAACACGAAGUGAGUGGCGGACGGGUGAGUAACACGUGGGUAACCUGCCCAGAAGCAGGGGAUAACACCUGGAAACAGAUGCUAAUACCGUAUAACAGAGAAAACCGCCUGGUUUUCUUUUAAAAGAUGGCUCUGCUAUCACUUCUGGAUGGACCCGCGGCGCAUUAGCUAGUUGGUGAGGUAACGGCUCACCAAGGCGAUGAUGCGUAGCCGACCUGAGAGGGUAAUCGGCCACAUUGGGACUGAGACACGGCCCAGACUCCUACGGGAGGCAGCAGUAGGGAAUCUUCCACAAUGGACGCAAGUCUGAUGGAGCAACGCCGCGUGAGUGAAGAAGGGUUUCGGCUCGUAAAGCUCUGUUGUUAAAGAAGAACGUGGGUGAGAGUAACUGUUCACCCAGUGACGGUAUUUAACCAGAAAGCCACGGCUAACUACGUGCCAGCAGCCGCGGUAAUACGUAGGUGGCAAGCGUUAUCCGGAUUUAUUGGGCGUAAAGCGAGCGCAGGCGGUCUUUUAAGUCUAAUGUGAAAGCCUUCGGCUCAACCGAAGAAGUGCAUUGGAAACUGGGAGACUUGAGUGCAGAAGAGGAYAGUGGAACUCCAUGUGUAGCGGUGAAAUGCGUAGAUAUAUGGAAGAACACCAGUGGCGAAGGCGGCUGUCUGGUCUGUAACUGACGCUGAGGCUCGAAAGCAUGGGUAGCGAACAGGAUUAGAUACCCUGGUAGUCCAUGCCGUAAACGAUGAUUACUAAGUGUUGGAGGGUUUCCGCCCUUCAGUGCUGCAGCUAACGCAUUAAGUAAUCCGCCUGGGGAGUACGACCGCAAGGUUGAAACUCAAAAGAAUUGACGGGGGCCCGCACAAGCGGUGGAGCAUGUGGUUUAAUUCGAAGCUACGCGAAGAACCUUACCAGGUCUUGACAUCUUCUGCCAACCUAAGAGAUUAGGCGUUCCCUUCGGGGACAGAAUGACAGGUGGUGCAUGGUUGUCGUCAGCUCGUGUCGUGAGAUGUUGGGUUAAGUCCCGCAACGAGCGCAACCCUUAUUACUAGUUGCCAGCAUUCAGUUGGGCACUCUAGUGAGACUGCCGGUGACAAACCGGAGGAAGGUGGGGACGACGUCAAAUCAUCAUGCCCCUUAUGACCUGGGCUACACACGUGCUACAAUGGAUGGUACAACGAGUYGCGAAACCGCGAGGUUUAGCUAAUCUCUUAAAACCAUUCUCAGUUCGGACUGUAGGCUGCAACUCGCCUACACGAAGUCGGAAUCGCUAGUAAUCGCGGAUCAGCAUGCCGCGGKGAAUACGUUCCCGGGCCUUGUACACACCGCCCGYCWCUCCAUGAGAGUUUGUAACACCCAAAGCCGGUGGGGUAACCUUUU